GCCGACGUAGCUCAGUUGGUAGAGCAGCUGAUUCGUAAUCAGCAGGUCGCCGGUUCGAGUCCGGCCGUCGGCUCCA
rnacentral:tRNA from 2 species